rnacentral:rRNA from 1 species
UCCGUAGGCGGUUUUGUAAGUCAGUGGUGAAAGCCCAUCGCUCAACGGUGGAACGGCCAUUGAUACUGCAGAACUUGAAUUACUAGGAAGUAACUAGAAUAUGUAGUGUAGCGGUGAAAUGCUUAGAUAUUACAUGGAAUACCAAUUGCGAAGGCAGGUUACUACUAGUGGAUUGACGCUGAUGGACGAAAGCGUGGGGAGCGAACA